CUGUAGGAUAACUUCAUCCUGUCAUGUCAGAGUGGAUGAGGAGUCGACUUCACACUGUUACUCAAGGGAUGAAUACAUGAAGACAUUGACCCGGCAACUACUUGGUAUUCAGAAACUUGGCUCACC